rnacentral:lncRNA from 1 species
ACCUGGCCAGUCUCUGUCCACCACACCUCUCGCCCAUUCCUGCCAGGAAGGCGAUGGGGCUGGAGGUUGAGUUCCACUUCCGGGCUGUGGAUUCAGUCAGUCACGCCUGUGCAAUGGAACCCCAAUGAAAACUCUGGACACCGAAGCUCUGGAGAUCAUCUCUGGUGGGCAGUUCCCUGUGGGUGGUCACACACCCAUGUGCUGGGAGGGAAACCAGCCCCUGGGGCUGAUGGAAGCCUCCCAGGCCUCGUUGUAGGUAGCUCUCUCUGUAGCUGGCUAUUGUUUGUAUCCUUUUGCUAUAAUAAAAGUCAUUGUAAAUAUAGCACUUUCCUGAGUUUUGUGAAUUGUUUUAGUGAUUUAUUGAAACUGAAGAAGUUCCUGGGGACCCUUGACUUUGUAGCCGGCUGGUCAGAAGUAACAGUGGCCUGGGGACCCUGAAUUUGCAGCUGGGGUCUCCUUGAGGAGGACAGUCCGCUUACCCCAUGGAGUAUGGCUGAUUCAAGGUAGUUUGUGUUCAAAGUCAUUGCACAAAUAAACAACACAAAACAAUGUUAGAAUGUUAAGAUUAAAGUAUCACCCAAGAGCUAUUGGCCAAAAGCAAACUAAAAACAGACUUGACAAUUUUAAUUUCUAACACUGUGUAUUUCAAUAUAAAUGGAAUUAAAUGGAAUAAAAUGCCAGUGUAUGUUGUUAAUAUCUUAAUUCUACAAUGAAGAUAAAGUAUAAUCCUGCAUGGGCUGACCAAGGUAACAUGAAAAUACAAGUCCACACGCCUGGAAAUAUCUGAAGAAAAUGAAAGAACCAAAAUGGAUGCUUAAUCAAUGAUUUUUGGGUUUCCUGGAUACCUCACAAUCUUAUGGGUAUAGAAAUAAGAGCAGUGACAAAACUUAAAAUAAUUGAAAAGAUUCAAUUACUAAAUAAAAUAAUACCAGAAAGAAACUCUUUAUCAUUUCCAAUAAUUCUAAGAAAUCUGUCUUCAUCUAUGCUACACAAAUCUCAACAAAUUUUCAAAAGCAAAACUGCACAGGAC